UUCUGGGAAGAAACAAUCAGCAGUGACUGCCUCAAUUAGUCUCAGAAGGACAACCGACUGAGAUCUACAAUUGUGGGUAAAGAUAUUUUGUGGGAAGAGAGUAGCCAGGCUAAGCUAAGUGACCCUGUCAGAGGCUAAUUAGCAGAAAGAGGACCCCAAGAAAAGGAUGAGAUCCUGAAAGGCUGACACAGAGUGAAGACUGGCCAGAGAAGAGGCAAGAGUUGGACCAACAGGUAUAGUCUCAGGGGAUUAUUAGUCUCAUUCCUGCUGGCAGUGAGCUCACUCUGCACCUUUUCUGGUGAACUUGGUUUUUGCCAAUCCAGUCCCUUUUCUAUGUGCAGCCUGGAAGAGUGAGGAGAUGUACCUGAGGGCAAAUCUGAGAAGCACACAGACCCGGAAUGAAGGGGUCAGAGUACUGUUCCCUGGUGUGGCUUCUUGGGAAUCCGAAGAGGCCUACCAAGUGCUAAGCAUCUUCGUGGUGGUUGGAGGAGAAGGUGUUUCAGCAUGUCUCAGACCUCCGGACCCUAGAAAUGUCACCAAUGUGGUGCCUCAAUUGCCUCACUCUAUUAUCAGACCUACAGCUGAAGCACAGAGGUUAAUUUUGAUGGAGCCGACCUUCAGAGAAGCUUCAUUCCCAGCCUGGUCAAGAAUCCUACACCAAAGCACUGGCUCUAAUAGGGAAGGAACAAGACCUUGAGAUUGGGAAUGGGGCUAUCUGGGGAGAGGUCCUUGAGAAACUUGAAUCUCAUAAUCUCUCUGAACCCUCUGGGCUUGUAGAAGUAGUUCACAUCCUUGUUGGAAGAUAGAACCCACUCCCUUCCUUCAAGCCUACACAGAAGGCUGGAAUGAGAUGCACACCUGAUUAAAUAUUUGCCCUCCUCAGCAACUACCUGCACCUAAUCUCCCGCCCACCAGACCUAUAACAAGGGUCAAAUUUCAGCAGAAACCUUCUGAAAAAGUGGUAGGCCUGAUGAGGUGGGUGAGAGAUGUCAAAGGAGCAUAAGGGCCCAGCUAAGACGCAGGCAGAGACCAGGGCAGCAUACAUGGUAAUGGACUCCGAGGUUGCCGAGUUCACCGGAGGAGGAAUAUACAUCAGGAUAAAGGGUAGUUUGCCAAAAUGAAGGCACUCACCCUUGGCAUAAGACUUAAUGCCCUGGAAAGGGCCUUGAGUGAUAGAGCUGGGAAUGCUUUUGGAAGCCUAGAAAAAGCAAUGGCCCACAUUAGAUGAGGUAGAGAUGCCAGAACUGCCUAGAAAGACUGACUAUUGAGGAAGGGAUCAUGCUAAAAUGGAUCUACUGCAUAAGACAACCAUGAUCUACUCUGUAAGAGCUAAUAGUGUUCCUCAGCAGAGUAUUAAGGACACUGUUUAAUGAGAUAAUAAAUGCAUCGGUAAGAAGACAACAGCAUUGAUAACAAGUUACCCUCUAUGAGCUGGAACUGACCGGAAGCCCUGCUUUUAUGGAACUGGGCUCACUGGAAGGAAGGGGGGUGAUAGGAUCUCAGAAGAGCAGAGGCCGAGUGGCCACACUUAAUC